rnacentral:misc_RNA from 1 species
GAUGAAGAACGUAGCGAAAUGCGAUAAGUAAUGUGAAUUGCAGAAUUCAGUGAAUCAUCGAAUCUUUGAACGCACAUUGCGCCCCUUGGUAUUCCGAGGGGCAUGCCUGUUCGAGCGUCAUUAUAACCCCUCAAGCUCAGCUUGGUGUUGGGGCCUGCUGCACUGGCAGCCCUUAAAAUCAGUGGCGGCGCCAUCUGCCUCUAAGCGUAGUAAUUCUUCUCGCUAUGGAGUCCUGGUGGAUGCUUGCCAUCAACCCCCAAUUUUUCUAUGGUUGACCUCGGAUCAGGUAGGGAUACCCGCUGAACUUAAGCAUAUCAAUAAGCGGAGGA